rnacentral:tRNA from 1 species
CGUUAGUGAAGUGGUUAACACGCAAGAUUCUCAAUCUUGAAGCACGGGUUCGAACCCCGUAC